rnacentral:rRNA from 1 species
GACGAACGCUGGCGGCGUGCUUAACACAUGCAAGUCGAACGAUGACGACCGAGCUUGCUCGGUCUGAUUAGUGGCGAACGGGUGAGUAACACGUGAGCAACCUGCCCUUCACUCUGGGAUAACCUCGGGAAAUCGGGGCUAAUACCGGAUAUGAGCUCCUGUCGCAUGGCGGGUGUUGGAAAGUUUUUCGGUGAAGGAUGGGCUCGCGGCCUAUCAGUUUGUUGGUGAGGUAGUGGCUCACCAAGGCGAUGACGGGUAGCCGGCCUGAGAGGGCGACCGGCCACACGGGGACUGAGACACGGCCCAGACUCCUACGGGAGGCAGCAGUGGGGAAUAUUGCACAAUGGGCGAAAGCCUGAUGCAGCGACGCCGCGUGAGGGAUGACGGCCUUCGGGUUGUAAACCUCUUUCAGCAGGGAAGAAGCGAAAGUGACGGUACCUGCAGAAGAAGCGCCGGCUAACUACGUG